AGAGUUUGAUCAUGGCUCAGGAUGAACGCUAGCUACAGGCUUAACACAUGCAAGUCGAGGGGAAACGACAUCGAAAGCUUGCUUUUGAUGGGCGUCGACCGGCGCACGGGUGAGUAACGCGUAUCCAACCUGCCCACCACUUGGGGAUAACCUUGCGAAAGUAAGACUAAUACCCAAUGACGUCUCUAGAAGACAUCUGAAAGAGAUUAAAGAUUUAUCGGUGAUGGAUGGGGAUGCGUCUGAUUAGCUUGUUGGCGGGGUAACGGCCACCAAGGCGACGAUCAGUAGGGGUUCUGAGAGGAAGGUCCCCCACACUGGAACUGAGACAACGGUCCAAACUCCCUACGGGAGGCA
rnacentral:rRNA from 1 species